rfam:Blastochloris viridis isolate 1 genome assembly, chromosome: I
ACCCUUCCUUUGCCGGCCGUCCGCCCCUAUAUUCAUGAGGCCGGCGCAAGCCGGAUAUGGCGAUAAAUGGCUAUCGGAAUAAACCUUUCGGACCCGGGGGCGGUACCCGGCGCCUCCACCCCAGCCGGUUCUGAACCGAACAGGCCGGCUGCGGCGGGGGCGAAAUAGGAUCGACGAGGGCGUAAAGGGUGUGCUUUUGCCCGGCAUGGUUCCGCCGUUAUCGGGCCAUUAGUGUAGUUGCGAAUGACAACUAUGCGCCGGUUGCUCAGGCCGCGUGACGCGGUUUGAAAGACCACUUAAAGCCCUAGUGCCUUGCGCGUACUAGGCGGGGUUCGGAGGCACCUGGCAACAGAAGCCUCCACU